UACAGAGGGUGCAAGCGUUAAUCGGAAUUACUGGGCGUAAAGCGUGCGUAGACGGUUAUGUAAGUCGGGUGUGAAAGCCCCGGGCUCAACCUGGGGAAUUGCAUUCGAGACUGCAUAGCUAGGGUGCGGAAGAGGGAAGCGGAAUUUCCGGUGUAGCGGUGAAAUGCGUAGAUAUCGGAAGGAACACCAGUGGCGAAAGCGGCUUCCUGGUCCAGCACCGACGUUCAGGCACGAAGCGUGGGGAGCAACAGG
rnacentral:rRNA from 1 species